CAACUCAAAAUCAAUCGGGAAUGA
rnacentral:siRNA from 1 species